rnacentral:rRNA from 1 species
ACUCCUACGGGAGGCAGCAGUGGGGAAUAUUGCACAAUGGGCGCAAGCCUGAUGCAGCCAUGCCGCGUGUUAAGAAGGCCUUCGGGUUGUAAAGUACUUUCAGUCGUGAGGAAGGUAGUGUAGUUAAUAGCUGCAUUAUUUGACGUUAGCUNAGAAGAAGCACCGGCUAACUCCGUGCCAGCAGCCGCGGUAAUACGGAGGGUGCGAGCGUUAAUCGGAAUUACUGGGCGUAAAGCGCAUGCAGGUGGUUUGUUAAGUCAGAUGUGAAAGCCCGGGGCUCAACCUCGG